CGACCCUCGGGGCAGCCCCGGGGAGGACAGGGUUUCCCUCCGUCCCGCACACAGGCAGCGCGGAGCCCCCGCCGCGCCCCCCCCCGCCAAGAGCCUCUCCUGUCCCGGCGCCGGGAGGGGCCCCCGCUCUGGCCAGGGACGUCGCCCGAGGUGGAAGCCAGAUGCCCCCAGCGGCCUGGACGCUGCUGUCCACGCCUCGUCCCAGCGGGCAGGUUCUCCUCACUGCUGCUGUGGUCGUGGCGGAGCAGCCCUGGAACCCAGCCUGGCUGGCAGAGCUCCUGAAUGUAGCCACUCGGCUGUGGUGCCUCUUCAUCCUGUAGGCCUCAGGGACCAACAAUUGUCAGCACAGCAAUUUGGGGCAUUUCUCUUCUAGUCGAGCCUGCAGCUGACUACAUAGCUGGCUAUCAGGGAUCUUCUCCCACAGGCAAGGAGAGGAGAUGUAUUUCAGGGGAACUUCUCAUGGCCAGUCAGUGUGUUGACUUCGGAUUCAGCCUCAUCUGAAACUACACCAUUUUACACAUAUACAAACGCCCUGAGGUAUUGGGCUUCAGCUUGCUCUAAGAGGACAGAGUGUAGGUUAAGUUUGUUUGACAUAACUAGAGGGGUUGAGCCUCUUCCUGUUAAUGGCAAUUAGUGGUCACCCACCAUUUCUAGAAAGCUUUUGCUGAGACAUUGUUUCUUUCAGUAGAAGAAAAUGAAAGGGUUGGUGAUCCAACACUUCUGUCUCCAAAGAAAACUGGGCAGGUGAUAAUGGUGACCCAAAGUGAGAGCGUUGCUUGCCAUGCCCAUGCCAGAGCUACAUUUGCUCUGAAAGACAGCAACAAAAGUGCUGAAAUUUGGACAUAUCCUUGGUGUGGUGUUCACUAUUCCACAUCAAAGAGAGUACUCUAAGUAGACUCCAAAUGUUCUGAGUGAAGAUGUGAAUAGAAAAUUCCUGAAUUCCUAUUUUCCUGUGAAUUAAGAUUUCCUGUGAAUAGAGAAUCUUCCUAAAAGUGUAUGAUGUUCUCAUGAGACUGCAACAGAUGUGCUCUGACUGUGAGUGCUGCUGCUCUGAAUGAGAGAACAAAAAUAUCCAGAAGGGCAGCUAUGGUGCUGCCUUUUCCUACAGUAUCACCUGUGUUUUGGACCACGUCCAUCAAGUACCCUGACAUAGCAUUUCCAAUCACAGGUAUAAUGCUAGCCCUUCAGACAGCAACAGAUGUGCUCUGGCCUGGUGGACACUAGGUGUCUGAUGGAGGACAGGAACAGAUGUAUCAUGACAUACAUCUUUUAGUGGUGGAGGCUUCUCCAGUAGUAAAAGGUUUCCUGUGACUAGAUGGGCCCCAAGUGCUCAGACCAGAUACAGGAAAAAAAUCCUCCAAACACAGUUAUGGGGUCAGCCCUUCCCAUUGUAAAACAUGUGCUCCUUCCAGUGGGACCCAGGAGCUCUGACUGCAGAUAGGAACAUAAAGCCCCCCAGACACAGGUAUGAUGUUGUCCUCUUGGCUACAAUAGAUGUACCCUGGUUGGAUGGAUUCCAGGUGAUCUGACCACAGGAAGAACAAAAGUGUCUUAUGGCAUGUGUUCCUUCUCAUUGACGCUCUCUUGACCAGUAGUAGUAGGCAUGUGAUAGCUGGGCUGGCUCUGGGUGCUCUGAUUAUAGGUAGGAAGGAAAGUGUUUCCAUGGACCGAUUUGCUCUCAGCAGUACUGGCCUUUCCAAUUGCAACAGGGAUACAACAGGCGGACAGCACCUCCCAACAUGAGCUGUGGUGCUGGUGUCACACUUGGCCUUGCUCCAAAACUGAGUAUUCCAGACAUGAAGCUAAAGUCUGGGACAUCCACAAUGACCCCAAAGCUUCCACUACCCAUAAGGUAGCAAAUCCCAUAAACCCAAAUGGCUCUGUAGUAGUACCAGCAAAAGUGAGCAGUGAUCUUCAGUGCUAUGCAUGCUGGUGGCAGCUCCAGAGCAGGAAAGAGUGGCCAUACCAUUGGGGAAAACAACUGAAGUGCCACCAAAAGCUGGCUGGGUGCUGACAGAGAUGCCAAAUUUGAAACAUAGGGGUGUCAAAACACUCAAAAGCUGACUGCUUGGGUUCCAGGACUGCUAUAGUAUAGGCUAGGUAUGUAGGUUCUGCUGGGGCUGCCGGCUUUCCCAAAGGGGAAGAGCUGUUAAAGCUGGCAAAAAGAGGCAGGAAGAUAGCAGGCUGGGAAUUGAGCAUGGUAUCCACAUCGAUUUCAUCAGAGUCGAAGGCAGGCUUGGUUGGCGAGUCUGAAGAGUCUUGGAGUGAGGCUACUGCAGAAGCAGUGGUAGAUGGACCAGAAAAAAAAAAACAAAACCAGGGGCAUUGAAGAGAGUGGCUUCCUGCUGCUGUCCACAUA